AGCGUCGUAGCGCAGAGGAAGCGCGCGAGGCUCAUAACCUCGAGGCCGGUGGAUCGAAACCACCCGACGCUA
rnacentral:tRNA from 1 species